rnacentral:rRNA from 1 species
GACGAACGCUGGCGGCGCGCCUAACACAUGCAAGUCGAACGGAGUCAAGAGGAGCUUGCUUUUCUUGACUUAGUGGCGAACGGGUGAGUAACGCGUGAGUAACCUGCCCUGGAGUGGGGGACAACAGUUGGAAACGACUGCUAAUACCGCAUAAGCCCACGGAUCCGCAUGGAUCUGCGGGAAAAGGAUUUAUUCGCUUCAGGAUGGACUCGCGUCCAAUUAGCUAGUUGGUGAGGUAACGGCCCACCAAGGCGACGAUUGGUAGCCGGACUGAGAGGUUGAACGGCCACAUUGGGACUGAGACACGGCCCAGACUCCUACGGGAGGCAGCAGUGGGGGAUAUUGCACAAUGGGGGAAACCCUGAUGCAGCGACGCCGCGUGGAGGAAGAAGGUUUUCGGACUGUAAACUCCUGUCGUUAGGGACGAUAAUGACGGUACCUAACAAGAAAGCACCGGCUAACUACGUG